ensembl:snRNA U6 U6 spliceosomal RNA
GUGCUCACUUCGGUAGCACAUACACUAAAAUUAGAACAAUACAGAGAAAAUUAGCAUGCCCCCUCCACAAGGAUGACAUGCAAAUUUGUAAAACAUUGCAUUUUUUA